rnacentral:rRNA from 1 species
UACAGAGGGUGCGAGCGUUAAUCGGAAUUACUGGGCGUAAAGCGCGUGUAGGCGGCUCUGCAAGUCGGGUGUUAAAUCCCAUGGCUCAACCAUGGAAGUGCACUCGAAACUGCAGGGCUAGAGUCCUGGAGAGGAAGGUGGAAUGCUUGGUGUAGAGGUGAAAUUCGUAGAUAUCAAGCGGAACACCGGUGGCGAAGGCGGCCUUCUGGACAGUGACUGACGCUGAGACGCGAAAGCGUGGGGAGCAAACAGG